rnacentral:rRNA from 1 species
UACGGAGGGGGCUAGCGUUGUUCGGAAUUACUGGGCGUAAAGCGCGCGUAGGCGGGCUGUUAAGUCGGGGGUGAAAUCCCGGGGCUCAACCCCGGAACUGCCUUCGAUACUGGCAGCCUAGAGGAAGGCAGAGGCUAGUGGAAUGGCGAGUGUAGAGGUGAAAUUCGUAGAUAUUCGCCGGAACACCAGUGGCGAAGGCGACUGGCUGGGCCUUUUCUGACGCUGAGGUGCGAAAGCGUGGGGAGCAAACAGG